UGGAGAGUUUGAUCCUGGCUCAGGACGAACGCUGGCGGCGUGCUUAACACAUGCAAGUCGAGCGGAAAGGCCCCUUCGGGGGUACUCGAGCGGCGAACGGGUGAGUAAC
rnacentral:rRNA from 1 species